AACGAACGCUGGCGGCAGGCCUAACACAUGCAAGUCGAGCGAAGCCUUCGGGCUUAGCGGCGGACGGGUGAGUAACGCGUGGGAACGUGCCCUUUGCUACGGAAUAGCCCCGGGAAGCUGGGAGUAAUACCGUAUGUGCCCUUCGGGGGAAAGAUUUAUCGGCAAAGGAUCGGCCCGCGUUGGAUUAGGUAGUUGGUGGGGUAAUGGCCUACCAAGCCGACGAUCCAUAGCUGGUUUGAGAGGAUGAUCAGCCACACUGGGACUGAGACACGGCCCAGACUCCUACGGGAGGCAGCAGUGGGGUAUCUUAGGCAAUGGGGGAAACCCUGAUCUAGCCAUGCCGCGUGAUCGAUGAAGGCCUUAGGGUUGUAAAGAUCUUUCAGUGGGGAAGAUAAUGACUGUACCCACAGAAGAAGCCCCGGCUAACUCCGUGCCAGCCGCCGCAGUAAAAC
rnacentral:rRNA from 1 species